rnacentral:rRNA from 1 species
CCCCUAGAUGUUCUGGGCUGCACGCGCGCUACACUGAAGCGUUCAACGAGUAUUCACCUUGCCCGGGAGGGUUGGGUAAUCUUUUGAAAACGCUUCGUGAUGGGGAUAGAUUAUUGCAAUUAUUAAUCUUCAACGAGGAAUUCCUAGUAAGCGCGAGUCAUCAGCUCGUGCUGAUUACGUCCCUGCCCUUUGUACACACCGCCCGUCGCUCCUACCGAUCGAAGAGUUAGGUGAAUUGUUUUGAUCGAUAAGAUUUGACUAUGGUCAACUCUCGUUGUGAAAUUCUGUGAAUCUGACUGUUUAGAGUAAGGAAAAGUCGUAACA